rnacentral:miRNA from 1 species
AUUAUCAGACUUGUUACAAGGUUGUUCUAACAAGUCUGAUACAGUCAUGCUAUAACAAGAAUGUUACAAGGUUGACGACACAAGGUUGUAACAAUAUUUUUAUAUCAUGACUGUAUCGGAUUUGUUGGAACAACCUUGCAACAAGUCUGACAAU